rnacentral:rRNA from 1 species
GUCUACGGUCAUACCAUUCUGAACGUGCCUGAUCUCGUUGAAGCUAAACAGGGUCGGGCCUGGUUAGUACUUGGAUGGGAGGCUGCCUGGGAAUACUGGGUGCUGUAGGCU